GAUGAACGCUGGCGGCGUGCCUAAUACAUGCAAGUCGAGCGAACAGACGAGGAGCUUGCUCCUCUGACGUUAGCGGCGGACGGGUGAGUAACACGUGGAUAACCUACCUAUAAGACUGGGAUAACUUCGGGAAACCGGAGCUAAUACCGGAUAAUAUAUUGAACCGCAUGGUUCAAUAGUGAAAGACGGUUUUGCUGUCACUUAUAGAUGGAUCCGCGCCGCAUUAGCUAGUUGGUAAGGUAACGGCUUACCAAGGCAACGAUGCGUAGCCGACCUGAGAGGGUGAUCGGCCACACGGGAACUGAGACACGGUCAAGACUCCUACGGGAGGCAGCAGUAGGGAAUCUGCCGCAAUGGGCGAAAGCCUGACGGAGCAACGCCGAGUGAGUGAUGAAGGUCUUCGGAUCGUAAAACUCUGUUAUUAGGGAAGAACAAAUGUGUAAGUAACUAUGCACGUCUUGACGGUACCUAAUCAGAAAGCCACGGCUAACUACGUG
rnacentral:rRNA from 1 species